rnacentral:misc_RNA from 1 species
GGAGGAUGUGGAGAUAGGAGAGCCCAAGGAUGGAGAGAUUCGGGUGAAGAACACAGCAAUUGGUGUCAACUUCAUUGAUGUUUAUUACCGGAAAGGAGUGUACAAAACCCAAUUGCCAUUUACUCCUGGAAUGGAAGCAGUUGGAGUGGUAACUGCGGUUGGCCCUGGUCUGACUGGUAGGCAGGUAGGAGACGUUGUUGCUUAUGCUGGUAACCCUAUGGGCUCGUACUCAGAAGAACAGAUACUUCCAGCUAGCACG